GUGCUCGCUUCGGCAACACAUAUACUAAAAUUGGAACAAUACAGGGAAGAUUAGCAUGGCCCCUGUGCAAGGAUGACACGCAAAUUCAUGAAGCGUUCUAUAUUUUU
rnacentral:snRNA from 1 species